rnacentral:rRNA from 1 species
UACAGAGGUCUCAAGCGUUGUUCGGAUUCAUUGGGCGUAAAGGGUGCGUAGGCGGCGCGGUAAGUCGGGUGUGAAAUUUCGAGGCUUAACUUCGAAACUGCAUUCGAUACUGCCGUGCUAGAGGACUGGAGAGGAGACUGGAAUUCAUGGUGUAGCAGUGAAAUGCAUAGAGAUCAUGAGGAAGACCAGUGGCGAAGGCGGGUCUCUGGACAGUUCCUGACACUGAGACACGAAGGCCAGGGGAGCAAACGGG